rnacentral:rRNA from 1 species
UACGUAGGGGGCGAGCGUUGUCCGGAUUUAUUGGGCGUAAAGAGCGUGUAGGCGGCCAGGUAGGUCUGCUGUGAAAACUCGGGGCUCAACCUCGAGACGUCGGCGGAAACCAUCUGGCUAGAGUCCGGAAGAGGAGAGUGGAAUUCCCGGUGUAGCGGUGAAAUGCGCAGAUAUCGGGAAGAACACCCGUGGCGAAGGCGGCUCUCUGGGACGGUACUGACGCUGAGACGCGAAAGCGUGGGGAGCGAACAGG